AUACGUAGGGAGCAAGCGUUGUCCGGAAUUACUGGGCGUAAAGGGCGCGUAGGUGGACAUUUAAGUCAGAUGUGAAAACUCUGGGCUCAACUUGGAGAUUGCAUUUGAAACUGGACGUCUUGAGGGUAGGAGAGGAAAGUGGAAUUCCUAGUGUAGCGGUGAAAUGCGUAGAUAUUAGGAGGAACACCAGUGGCAAAGGCGACUUUCUGGACUAUACCUGACACUGAGGCGCGAAAGCGUGGGGAGCGAACGGGAUUAGAUACCCCGGUAGUCCACGCCGUAAACGAUGGAUACUAGGUGUAGGGGGUAUCGACCCCUUCUGUGCCGCAGCUAACGCAAUAAGUAUCCCGCCUGGGGACUACGGUCGCAAGACUAAAACUCAAAUGAAUUGACGGGG
rnacentral:rRNA from 1 species